AAAAAGAAGGAAAGGACAAAAGACUAUUAAAACAAUAAGACAAAUGUAUCAGUAAAUCACAUGGCCAUUAAAUAAAGAUGGAAGAGAAUAUACGCAUGUUUGACCAAAUAAAAAAAAAAGCAAGGGAUCAAUCGAUUUACAUCCAUGACCAAUCGAUUGGUUGUGAGAAAAAUUUAAAAAAAUAACAAAGGCUAAUCGAUUGAUGAGGGAGCUACAAUCGAUUGGUUGAAAGCCAAAUUUUAAAAAAAAUUAAAAAAAUAGUGAACCAAUC
rnacentral:lncRNA from 1 species